AUGCGGAAUUUAAUGAGUUCAGCUCGCUCUCUGGCGACAGAGCUUCCAGUGCGCCCCCUGCUGUAUGCAGCUGGAGCUGCAGUCACAGCCGCAGGGGUUUAUUAUUAUUUUAAGAAGCGUGAAGAUGGAGAGAGAACAGCGGAGCUCGCGGACACACCUGUCAUCGAGGACCCAGUGCAGAUGGUGUGUGCAGAGUCUGCUUUGGUGGAGUCAGACUUGACGUCUGAUGUGGAUGGAGUCAGAGUCACAGAGACUGACAGCGCUGUCCCUGAGGUUUCUCCGAGGGAGGCUGAGGAGAAGAAUCAGAAGGGCGAGGUGCCCAGUGCUCCGGUGGACAGCGAGAGGUCCAAACUGGAGGACAGAGUGAGGGAGUUGGAGGAACUGUGUGAGAUACUCAGAGAGUGUGAUAUAAAAACCAAGGAGUAUGAGCAGGAGCGAGAGGCUCACAGUUUCCUGAAGUCUCAGUACUAUCAGAUGAAGGAAACUUUAACACACAACGAGGAGUCAUUAAAGAACUUGCAGGUCUCUCUGGCUGAAGCUGAGACGAAGUACAAGCAGGUGCUGGAGUCCAAUGCUCAGCUAGAGAAAGAGAACUUCCACCUGACAUCUGACUCGGACAAACUGCAAGACUCCGUGCAGGAUUAUGUGGAAGCGCUCUGUGAGGCACACAAGAAGUGUCACAUGAUAACAAUGGAGUGUGAGCAAGAGCGAGAGGCUCAUCGUAUCCUGAAAUCCGAGUAUGAAGAGAUGAGGGAAAAUUUAACACACGCCAAGGAGUUACUAAAUGACAUGCAGGUCUCUCUGGAUCUAGCUAAGAGGCAGCGCGAGCAGGUGAUGGACUGCAAUGCUCAGCUACAGAAAGAGAACUCCAGCCUGAUAUCUGACUCUGAAGUACUGCAAGACAGCAUGCACCAGUUGGAGGGAAAGCUCUGUAAGAACCAGCGCAGUCUUGCUAAGAUAACACGGGAUCAUCAGCGAGCAGAGGAGGCUUACAGCAUCCUGCAGUCACAGUACAAGGAGACAUUAAACCAGCGUGACGAGUUACUGAAAGAGUGUGAACGUGAGCAGGAGGCUCGCAGUAUGCUGAUGUCACAGUACAGUCAGAUGAAGGAAAAUUUACGCUCCACAAGGAGUUGCUAAAGAAAAGCAUCUCAGAAUACACAACACGUCGAACCUUGAGGCGUAUGGGCUACAACAGCAGAAGACCACGUCGAGUUCCACUUCUGUCACCCAAGAACAGAAAGCUGAGGCUGCAGAGAGCACAGGCUCACCAGAACUGGACAGAUGAAGACUGGAAAUCAUAGCCUGGUGUUCACAGAAGAAGUGGGUCUUUAGCUGUUUUUUGAAGAUGGUGAGAGAUUCUGUGGUCCGGAUUGAGAUUGGAAGUUCAUUCCACCACUUAGGAACAGUUAGCGUCAAGGUUCUGGAAAGGGACCUUGCGCCACGCUGAGUGGGAACUACUAAACGUCAGUCGCUAAUCGAUCGCAGAUUGCGUGAGGGAACAUAGGCCUUCAGGAGAGAGUUGAGGUAGGAGGGUGCUGUUCCUGACAAGGUCUUGUAGGUGAGCAUCAAGGCCUUGCAUUUGAUGCGGGCAGCUACAGGAAGCCAGUGGAGGGAGAUGAAGAGGGGUGUGACAUGGGUUCUCUUGGGCUUGUUGGAGAUGAGGCGCGCUGCAGCAUUCUGAAUCAUCUGAAGGGGUUUGAUGGAGCUGGCUGGGAGGCCUGAAAGCAGUGAGUUGCAGUAGCACAGUUUUUAUAAUAUUUCAACCCCCUUCCUUCUGGCCCCAGGUAUAGACUACCCAAGUGCAGAAAGGCCAGCUGUGGUAGGAGUUUUGUUCCUAUGGCUAUACGAGCAUUAAACACAUAGGUACUCAGCCAUUGUGAUGCCAGAUGCAUUUGUUGUAUGAUGAUCCUGAUGUUUUUCUCCUUGUCCCCUUCUCCCCUCUAUGCCUGUGUUUGUUUAUGGUGGUUUAUAUGUAAAAUGUUGUGUUUUUGUACGAACCCACUGUGGAAACAAAUUUCUCUUUGAGGACCAAUAAAUUAUCUAUCUAUCUGUCUAUCUAACUAUCUACCUAUCUAUCUAUUUCUGCCCUCGGGGAUGUUUCAAGAGCAGCUGGCAUACUCACAAACGCCUCCACAAGAGAGCACCUGCUAAGCUCCAGCCGGAGGUCAACGUGGUGACCUCAUCUCCAGAGCUCCAACCUGAGAAUCCACUAGGUGGUCAGACCUGUAGAGCUGCAGCAUGAGACGCACGAGGCAGUCUCAUCCACAGAGCUGCAGCAUGAGACGUACAAGGCGGUCUCACCCGCAGAGUUCCUGUCCAAGGUCGAAGAGACGACCUUUCAAGCCAAGUUCAUGUCCGAGGUUGAAGACGCGACCUCUCAAGCCAAGUUCCUGUCCAAGGUCGAAGAGACAACCUCUCAAGUCCAUUUCAUGUCCGAGGUCAAAGAGAUGACCACUCAAACCAAGUUCCUCUCCGAGGUCGAAGAGACGGCCUCCCAUGCCAAGUUCCAGACUGAGAUCGAUGAGGCUGUAGACACAACCUACCAAGUUCUCCUCAUGCUUGAAACUGACAUCACAACCAGCCAGGUUUUGCUCAAGCCAGAGUCUGUUGACACGACCACCCAAGUUCUCAUCAUGCCUGAAACCAGUAUCACAACCAACCUGGUUCUGCUCAUGCCUGAAACCGACGUCAUGACCAACCAGGUUCUGCUCACACCUGAAGCCUACGUCACGACCAACCAAGAGUUGUACAUGCCUGAAACCGACAUCACGACCAACCAGGUUAUCUGGGCCCUUUGACCAUUGAGAUCAUAAUGAUCUCAAUGGUCAAAGGGCCCAGAUAACCGGGGGCAUUCUUGGUGUAGCCCAGGCUUAAUCAUGAGAAACACUAUUUAGCUGUCUAACCAAGUCACAAAAGGGUUAGCUUUGAUUUUCUUGUUAUCUUUGAUGGAUUUGUAAGUGAGCAAAUAGGUGAACUAUAUGAGGCAGUGAGCUGACCAAUCAGCUGCCAGCUAGGCUCUGUUACAGUUACACCUCUAGGUUAGUGUCGGCACGUUCUUUUUGGCGCUUGCACCUGAGCAUAGGAGGCUGCGUUAUCCACUUGGUAAGAUGAAAAACGACAUGGAGUGAAUUAAAGUUCUGUACUCAUUAUUGCUUAUACUGACUAAACCUUGUUGUAAUAUAGAGAGUAAAAGAGCUGUGCCUGAAUCCACUGUUGUCACGGAGCUAAAGGCAGCGAAUUCUGUUAAAAUGGUGAGUUGUUUACCUGGCACUAGGCCUCUGAGUUCGCUAGCAUCCAUGCUAACAGGCCUCAGGCUUUUGAUGCCCAUUGGUAUUUAACCUAGCUUGCUGAGUUACUAUGAGUUCGCUAGCAUUUAUGCUAAUUGGCGCUAAUGGUGGAAAGCUAAUGUGAGCCUGCUGUAUUCAAAUGCUAAUAUGGUAAUUAGCCACAAUAGGCUAGCGGACUACUGUUUAAUGCCUUUGAAAACAACUAAUGAUUUUGUUUGUGGGUUAUAAAAAGAAAUAUUACUUUUCUCUACUGUUGCUAAAUGUUUAGUUUAUUAAAUAAUGAUGUUAAAAGUUGUGGAUUUAAAUGUGUUUACUGGAGGUUAAAGAGGUACAAUUUUUAGUGCAUUCUUUCCACUGUUACCGGUGCAGAGGGGGAUAAAUAAGCACGCUAACACCUUAAUGCCUCUAAUUUAAAGUAAUACAAGUUGAUUGAUAUUUACAUGCAAUUCAUGCAGUUUUAUUCUUCAUACUGCUAACAUUACUAAGGUUUCAUACAACUUGAGUUAGAAAUGUUUGUUUUUAUGAAGGAUGUAAUUUGUGAUGUAAAUGUACUUUGGAUACUGGAGAGAAAUUCAUAUAGUUUUGAUACCUGAGAAGAAACAUAAGAGCUGUUGUACAACGAGAGAGAGAUUUUGACAUUGCAUUAUAGGUGUACUGAAGUAUUCUCAUUUUAUUUUAUAGUAGCCUGUAGCAGUCCAUUUAUUCACUGGAUGGUAAUUGAGAGAAAUGAUCUGGCCUUAUUUAUAGGUCAGGUUUUGGUAAAGAGUUGGAAACAUCGUGCAGGGAUCCUUUCCAUGGAGUGAUACAGAUCCCCACGUUCCAGUCGUUCUCCAAGAGAUUAAUAGAUUCCCAGUCCGGGUGACUGGGUGGCGAGCCAACCGUGUUUGUAAUUCUGACAUUAGACGGAUUGCCAGGAUCAUCUUCUUCAUCUUCAUGGUGGUAGGACAAACACUAACACGAACUAAAAAGGGCCCAACAUUGGUAACUGAACUCUUGUCAACAAAGGCAAGUGAAACUGAGGACGAACUGAGCUCAAGGGGAUUUAUUUACGUGCGCACUUUAUUAUUUUAGUUUGUUAUUUUUCAUAAAUGUUUUUGUAUAUGUAUGUACCAGCCCUGUGUAUUUAAUACACUUUAUGCAAACUGUCAUUCUGGUGUGGUAUUCUUUUUAUUGACCUUCAAUUCUCAGGCUCUUAACAAUUUAGCAUCUUCUGAUUCUGGUCCAAAUUCAUAUUACUGAUAACCUCUAAGACUAUUUUAGACUACUACACCUAUGUACCUUCUUACUACCUCGUGAUAAGGGUCAUUAGCCUCAGUCUUGAGUGGGAUAUCUUUGGCUUCAAGCCACACCUUUUGACCUGGCUGGUAGUUGGGAGCUGGAACCCAAUUAUGGUCAGCCAGGCAAUGGUUGCGCUCGGUGGAGCGGAGCGGGGCGGAACACACCUCUCUCCAUACCCUGCAACAAUGACAGAGAUGAGCCUGCACAGAGGGGAUGGUGAUGUAGUCUUCCUGGACUGGGAACAAAGGAGGCUGAUAGCCCAGGGAGGACUUAGAGGGGGACAUGCUGGUGGCAUAACUAGUUAGGGAGUUGUGGGAUACUCAGUCCAGGGUAGCUGAGACUUACAGGUGGUGGGGUUGUUGGCAGUGACACAGCACUGCUUCCAGUUCCUGGUUGGCCCGCUCUGCCUAACUGUCUGGGAGUCAAAGUGGACCGAAGAGCAUUACAGACAGACCUCCAGCCUUGAACUGAGGCCCACAGGCAGAGACAAUGUCCUGGGGGAUGCCGUGUAGCUGGAAGAUGUGGCUUAUGAGGAGGUGUGUGGUUUCUCGGAUGGUAGGGAGGUUGGGAAGGGCCACAAAAUGUAGUGCUUUAGAGAACUGGUCUACUAUGGUGAGGAUGACAGUGUUACCUUGGGAAGGGGAUAGACCAGUGACAAAGUCCAAGGCGAUGUGAUACCAGGGGUGACUGGGAACAGGCAGGGGUAGGAGUAGGCCGGCAGGCGGGUGGUGUGAGGCCUACAGGCACAUUAUGGGCACAUAUAGUGCAGGCAGCAACAAAGGCUCGGGUAUCAGUGUUGGGCUGUAUGGUAUGACCAGUUAUUCAACAUGGCCAAGUGUGUUGAUCACCAUCUUCAAUUCAACCCCCUUUCUGAUCCUGAUCAGAUGGUAUGCAUCCCAAAGGUCCAGUUUUAUGAAAAUAGUGGUGCCAUGCAAAGGCUCGAAGGCUGAACUUCGGCAGGGGGAUGCGUAUUUUUUUAUGGUGAUGUUAUUCUAGUCUCUGUAAUCAAUACAGGGAUGGAGGGACUUAUCCUUUAUUGGACACAAAGAAGAACCUUAAGGGAACACUUAAGAAGGAAGGACCUACAUCUCCCUAAGUCACCUGCACAGGGCUUGGGGUCUGUGACAUGUGCUUCAUGCCGUGGUGGACGGGGAGAGGAGGCAGGCUGACUGGGCUGGAGGGCAGGGGUUGUCUGGACCAUGGAUGGUCUGUUACGGUGUUAUGCUGUUACAUUGCUGUGUGAGGAGCCUGAUAUGGUUCCUCAUGACUUGGUGGCUCUCAGAGUGCAUGGAGCUGUUGUUCAUGUUGGCCAAGGAGGAUGCCAAGCUAGGACAAGGCUGGAUGAGGGGAAACUGGUUCUGCUGGGUCCAUGAUGGCCAGAUCGUUCUGUUAUGAGGAACACAGAGACGAAGGGACCUAAAUGCAGAACACAGACAUGAGGACUGAAGGUAAACAGGAUUUAGUGAAGGAAGCUGGGAUGUGUAGGGUGAGGAUUGUGAUAACGUGUAGUCGGGAUCAGGAUUCAAAUUCGGGUCCACCGCAUGAGAGUCGAGUGCACAGCCGAUCUGAGUGCAGAGCAGUAGCACCACAGGGAAGGCGAGGCAGGGCUGAAUGUAGCAGGUAAUGAGCCAGGAGUGAAAAGCAGGAAGUGUGAGCAGUAGAACUGGAACACGAGGAGACCAACACAAUGAGCACAGUGAAAUACGAUGAGGGAAAACAAUGAACACUGACAUGGAAAGAAAAUGCAAGUAGAGCCUGAAGUUACUGCACUGAAAGCCAGACGAUCUGGCAAUGAGUGGCUGAAGAACCAGGGUUUAUAUAUACUGCUGAUGAGGUGAGUACAUGAGAAGCAGGUGAGUCUACUGAAGCACAGGAGGUGGAGUGCCAUGCCCAGGGACACACAUACAUGCAAACAGAAACAAGACAGAGAGAAAACACUGUAAACCAGGGAAGGGAAAAACAGGGAAAAGCACAGUGCUCCAGCCCAGACCAUGACAGUCCCCUGACUUGAAACCCAUAGAAAACCUGUGGUGUGAAAUGAAGAGGACAGCCCACUAGUGGGGACCAGAAAAUUUGAAGGAUCUGGAGAUUAUGUAUGGAGGAAUGGUCUCGGUAUCUUUGCCAUGUAUUCUCCGAUCUCAUCAGGUAUUACAGGAGAAGACUCAGAGCUGUUAUCUUGGCAAAGGGAGGUAGCACAAAGUAUUGACUAAAAGGGUGCCAAUAAAAGUUUUUUAUAUAUAUAUAAACCUGUGUUGUGUUUGCAAUUGUUUGCUAUCCAUGAGAGCAGAGUAUUUUUGUGAUUUUUUAUUAUUAUUAUUAUUAUUUAUUUAUUUAUUUAACAAAAAAAAAAAAUCUAAAGUUUAAACAGUAAUGACAAUUUUUCACAGCCUU